rnacentral:rRNA from 1 species
AGUGAACGCUGGCGGUAGGCCUAACACAUGCAAGUCGAACGGCAGCACAGGAGAGCUUGCUCUCUGGGUGGCGAGUGGCGGACGGGUGAGGAAUACAUCGGAAUCUGCCCAGUCGUGGGGGAUAACGUAGGGAAACUUACGCUAAUACCGCAUACGACCUUCGGGUGAAAGAGGGGGAUCGCAAGACCUCUCGCGAUUGGAUGAGCCGAUGUCGGAUUAGCUAGUUGGCGGGGUAAUGGCCCACCAAGGCGACGAUCCGUAGCUGGUCUGAGAGGAUGAUCAGCCACACUGGAACUGAGACACGGUCCAGACUCCUACGGGAGGCAGCAGUGGGGAAUAUUGGACAAUGGGCGCAAGCCUGAUCCAGCCACACCGCGUGGGUGAAGAAGGCCUUCGGGUUGUAAAGCCCUUUUGUUGGGAAAGAAAUCUUUCAGGCUAAUACCCUGGGAGGAUGACGGUACCCAAAGAAUAAGCACCGGCUAACUUCGUG